ACACACACACAACUGAGGUGUGAAUGUGUCCUCAGAUGUGAAUGUGUCCUCAGAUGUGAAUGUGUCCUCAGGUGUUAAUGUGUCCUCAGAUGUGAAUGUGUCCUCAGGUGUGAAUGUGUCCUCAGAUGUGAAUGUGUCCUCAGGUGUGAAUGUGUCCUCAGGUGUGACUGUGUCCUCAGGUGUGAUUGUGUCCUCAGGUGUGACUGUGUCCUCAGGUGUGAAUGUGUCCUCAGAUGUGAUUGUGUCCUCAGGUGUGAAUGUGUCCUCAGAUGUGAUUGUGUCCUCAGGUGUGAAUGUGUCCUCAGGUGUGAAUGUGUCCUCAGGUGUGAUUGUGUCCUCAGGUGUGAAUGUGUCCUCAGGUGUGAUUGUGUCCUCAGGUGUGAUUGUGUCCUCAGGUGUGAAUGUGUUCU